rnacentral:tRNA from 1 species
GCAUUCGCGGUCUAGUGGUCAGCACGCUCGAAUCGUAUUCGAGAGGUCCGUGGUUCAAGUCCCAGCGAGGGCA